ensembl:snoRNA Gm23722 small nucleolar RNA SNORA33
UAGCCAGCCCAUUAAUCUGUUUACCUGAAUGGUCCUGCAGACAUUUAGAAAAAACUGGCAAUGGUAAGACCAUAUUACAAACCUUAAAGAUUACUCAGGUCUUUUAAGACCACUGAAAAUGGCCACAAUA